rnacentral:rRNA from 1 species
UCUAGUAUAAGCAAUUAUACAGCGAAACUGCGAAUGGCUCAUUAUAUAAGUUAUCGUUUAUUUGAUAGUACCUUACUACUUGGAUAACCGUGGUAAUUCUAGAGCUAAUACAUGCUAAAAAUCCCGACUUCGGAAGGGAUGUAUUUAUUAGAUUAAAAACCAAUGCCCUUCGGGGCUCACUGGUGAUUCAUGAUAACUCCUCGAAUCGCAUGGCCUUGUGCCGGCGAUGGUUCAUUCAAAUUUCUUCCCUAUCAACUUUCGAUGUUUGGGUAUUGGCCAAACAUGGUUGCAACGGGUAACGGAGGGUUAGGGCUCGACCCCGGAGAAGGAGCCUGAGAAACGGCUACUACAUCCAAGGAAGGCAGCAGGCGCGCAAAUUACCCAAUCCCGACACGGGGAGGUAGUGACAAUAAAUACUGAUACAGGGCUCUUUUGGGUCUUGUAAUUGGAAUGAGUACAAUUUAAAUCCCUUAACGAGGAACAAUUGGAGGGCAAGUCUGGUGCCAGCAGCCGCGGUAAUUCCAGCUCCAAUAGCGUAUAUUAAAGUUGUUGUGGUUAAAAAGCUCGUAGUUGAACCUUGGGCCUGGCUGGCCGGUCCGCCUCACCGCGUGUACUGGUCCGGCCGGGCCUUUCCCUCUGUGGAACCCCAUGCCCUUCACUGGGUGUGGCGGGGAAACAGGACUUUUACUGUGAAAAAAUUAGAGUGCUCCAGGCAGGCCUAUGCUCGAAUACAUUAGCAU